rnacentral:rRNA from 1 species
UACAGAGACUGCAAGCGUUAUUCGGAAUUACUGGGCGUAAAGCGUGCGCAGGCGGUUAUGUAAGACAGUUGUGAAAUCCCCGGGCUCAACCUGGGAACUGCAUCUGUGACUGCAUAGCUAGAGUACGGUAGAGGGGGAUGGAAUUCCGCGUGUAGCAGUGAAAUGCGUAGAUAUGCGGAGGAACACCGAUGGCGAAGGCAAUCCCCUGGACCUGUACUGACGCUCAUGCACGAAAGCGUGGGGAGCAAACAGG